GACGAACGCUGGCGGCGUGCUUAACACAUGCAAGUCGAACGGACAGACAGAGAGCUUGCUCUCUUGAAGUUAGUGGCGAACGGGUGAGUAACGCGUAAUCAACCUGCCCUUCAGAGGAGGAUAACAACGGGAAACCGUUGCUAAUACCGCGUACGAUUCAUGAACGGCAUCGUUUAUGAAUGAAAGGUGGCCUCUAUGUAUAAGCUAUCGCUGAAGGAGGAGAUUGCGUCUGAUUAGCUAGUUGGAGGGGUAACGGCCCACCAAGGCAAUGAUCAGUAGCCGGUCUGAGAGGAUGAGCGGCCACAUUGGGACUGAGACACGGCCCAAACUCCUACGGGAGGCAGCAGUGGGGAAUCUUCCGCAAUGGACGAAAGUCUGACGGAGCAACGCCGCGUGAGUGAUGAAGGUCUUCGGAUUGUAAAGCUCUGUUAAUCGGGACGAAAGAGUUCUGCGUGAAUAAUGCAGAAAAGUGACGGUACCGGAAUAGAAAGCCACGGCUAACUACGUGCCAGCCGCCGCCGUAA
rnacentral:rRNA from 1 species